rnacentral:rRNA from 1 species
CUUUCUUUGCUGGCGACCGGCGCACGGGUGAGUAACACGUAUCCAACCUGCCCUUUACUCGGGGAUAGCCUUUCGAGAGAAAGAUUAAUACCCGAUAGCAUAAUGAUUCCGCAUGGUUUCAUUAUUAAAGGAUUCCGGUAAAGGAUGGGGAUGCGUUCCAUUAGGUUGUUGGUGAGGUAACGGCCCACCAAGCCUUCGAUGGAUAGGGGUUCUGAGAGGAAGGUCCCCCACAUUGGAACUGAGACACGGUCCAA